CCAGCAGCCUCAGGCAGACCCCGCCCCACACAGGACGGAGCUCCUUCCACCCCCCUCACACCCACCUCUCACACAGCGAACACAUCCUCACCGAGACCGGUCACUGGCAUGGAGCGCGAACGUAAGGUCAGCAUGCGGCUUCAUCGUGGCGCCCCAGUGAACGUGUCGUCCUCGGACCUGACGGGGCGUCAAGACACUUCCCGCAUGUCCACAUCACAGAAUAGCAUUCCCUUCGAACACCACGGCAAGUAGUUGAUCGUCACAUCCUUGUGUGAAGGCAGAUACACCAGGUGAGUUUGAUUAGCUUGUGUUAA